rnacentral:tRNA from 1 species
AGGGGUGUGGUGUCAAUUGGUAGCACAUCCGGUUGUUACCCGGAAAGUCGGGGUUCGAAUCCCUGCGCCCCUGCCA